CUAUAUAUUCUGAAAAGGGUAUCGGAAUUUGUGUCAAAUAUUGAAGGGGAUUUGUUUUGGUCUUUAAAUGGGGUUGGUGCUCCUGAUUUGAUCUUUAUUUAUGUGCCUGAAGGGUGCCGAGUUGAUGCCCCUUUAAAUUUGAGGUCUUUCUCACUGAAAGGGAGUGAUGCCGAGUCGAAUAUGUUGCCGGUUUCGAACCCGAGAGUAUUGGUGUUGAUAGAAGGGAGGAGAGGUGGGUAUAGUUGAGGUGUUUUUAGGUGGAGAUGGUAACAAGUGUUAUUGGACUAAUUAUGUUCUUGAGGUGAUCAUCGGUGAAGGAGUAACAUUUAGCCAUUUUUAUGUACAAACACAAUCUUUGGGAGCUGCCCAUAUUAAAUGGACUUCCAUUAGGCAAGUAUAUUUGGUUCUGCUUUUAUUAUGUUUUUGUUGAUUAAGUGUCAUUAUGUGCAACACUUUAGAUUUUGUGAUAUCCUUUGCUUAUAAUCCUGUUAGUGCAUUAUCAUGUGAUUGCUUAUACUUCUAUUCUUGUUGGUGCUUUGGUAUAUCAGGAUUAAAUACAUUAUAAUGCAACUGUCUUCGCUUUUAUAUUAUAUCCAUAAUUUGUCCCCCCAAUUUGAAAAUCCUGGCUCCGCCAGUGUCAAAUACAUGGUGCCUCUAAAAAAGAGGUCGGCUUAAAAAUAGCUAAAGAUAGAGCAAAGAGCCAUAUACGUCUUAAGAUAUAUCAAUAGUUAAGCCAUACACAGCCUCCGCCAUCUGAAAAUAAGGUGAAUGCACAUGCACAGGAUUCAGAGGCUUAGAAACCCAAUCCACUAAAUUUAUAUUCUUUUAUAUUACCAAUCUGACUAUCCACUAAUUUUUUUUUCUUUUAUUUUUUCCAAUCUAAUUAUUGAGCAACUUCAAUUUAUGACGUCUAAAAUAAAAAUAUUCUUCUAAGUUCCAAACUCUUUUUCUCAUCCACCAGCUUAUAUAGUAUAUUCAUGCAUCUCAUCCACACAUAUAAAUAGGUAGCAGAACUAGAGAAGGCUUUCCCCAUCACCCCAACCCCAAAAUCGAUCCUUCUCUUGCAAAAAAAUGGAGAAUAAAACAACAAAUGAAGAUGUGUUUGACAUGGAUGCUCUGGAGAUGAAUCUUCCACAAAAGAGAGGGUUAUCCCGAUACUACUCGGAAAAAUCAAGAUCAUUUGCAUGUUUGGCGGAUGUCCAUACAUUGGACGAUUUGAAGAAACAAGAUCAUAGGAAGCCAAAGAAGCAGAAGAAGUACAAAUAUCAAGCAACACACAGCCUCCUAUGCCUUGCAUAGGCGUUUAAAAGCCCCUCCAAAUGAAAAUACGGCUUAGAAUGUCACAAAAGAUGUGACAUUCUUUUCCUUCUUUUUUUGGUUAGAUAAUCAAUAUAUGUUGGUCUUUGGUCAAAAACUUUUGUAAAUACUAAAAUAGGGAUUAGAAAAAUCAAAAAAGGCAGUUUUUCCAUUUAUAAUAAAUAAUGAGAUAAGCUAAGCAAUGAAUUUGAGAUAUUCUACU